rnacentral:ncRNA from 2 species
AAUAGUUUAUAAAUAAUAUCUCAUAUAUCCCUGUAAUAUGGUCAGGAGUUUCUACGGGUUGCCACUAUAACAAGCCGCUAUGAGUAAAAAAUGAAUUUGA